CCUACAGCAGUGGGCAGAUGGAUGGGUUGAUUGGUGGAUCUGAUUAUUUAUGUGCAUGUAAAUACCCACACUGCCUGACACACAGAGCAUAGUUGCUGCAAUGGAGCAGGAGAUUACUUUAUCAGUCUAGUUCCAAGGCUUUGCUUAGUCUGCAUAUCUCUGAUUUACUUCAGCAAUUUAAGACAUUUAGGUAUCUUGUACGUGGACCUUUUCCACAGCUAGCAAAUUAUCCUUUUGUAGGAGGAAUUAAGAAAAGAGAGACAUUUACCUGUUCGAGCAGCAAAAAAUAAUAAGUGUCAAACCAAUCCCCACAAGCCUGGAUGAGCCUGACCAAGAGUCCGAGUUCUUGGUAUUAUCAGCUGACUGAAACUUGGACCAUAGAUAAUAUAAAACAUGCAUGUAGCCAUAACUCAUGUUUACCAAGCUCAAAUUACUAGGGAGCCCAGUGCUGUUUUCCCAUAGAAAAUCGGAAGUCUUUUUCCAGCCACAGGGGUUGCUCUCUCCUGUCCUUUACAAAAAGACAAAAAAAAAAAAAAAAAAGAUUUCAGGUAUUUCCACCUUGGCUUCUCUUUUCAAACCUGGAAAAGUAAAGUAUCUACUCCAUGUAUAAAAAAUAUGUUUCGAUUUUCAUUUAAGUAUACUCCAUUGUAUUCCUGAACUGAACUGCAUUACAGCUGCAUUACAGCAUUUCAGUUAUCCGGUUGUUCAGUCUGACGUCACUAGCCGUGUCUGGGUCUAAACUCCGCUGCAGGUCCACAUAUCAAACAAUCACUAUGGUAUUACUGAGAGUUAAAAAACUGUCUAAAGUCUUUCAUCUUUAAUAAAAUGAUCAGCGUUCUGCUCUACCAGGUGUAACAAUUGAGUUUAACAUCCAGGCAUCCAUGAAAACGGAAUUUAUGACAUUUAACGGAGUUAGAAGUUAGCAGGGAGUUAGCUCGCUAGCUUCUAUUUAAAUACAAUAUAGCAUGUCCUGACUGCGGGGUUUUGGAAACAAAUUAAAACGUACAGCUCUGUUAUCAC
ensembl:lncRNA